rnacentral:rRNA from 2 species
AGCUUGCUCCCGGAUGUUAGCGGCGGACGGGUGAGUAACACGUGGGUAACCUGCCUGUAAGACUGGGAUAACUCCGGGAAACCGGAGCUAAUACCGGAUAGUUCCUUGAACCGCAUGGUUCAAGGAUGAAAGACGGUUUCGGCUGUCACUUACAGAUGGACCCGCGGCGCAUUAGCUAGUUGGUGAGGUAACGGCUCACCAAGGCGACGAUGCGUAGCCGACCUGAGAGGGUGAUCGGCCACACUGGGACUGAGACACGGCCCAGACUCCUACGGGAGGCAGCAGUAGGGAAUCUUCCGCAAUGGACGAAAGUCUGACGGAGCAACGCCGCGURAGUGAUGAAAGGUUUUUCGGAAUCGUAAARCUUCUGUUGUUAGGGAAGAACCAAGUGCAAGAGUAACUGCUUGCACCUUGACGGUACCUAACCAGAAAGCCACGGCUAACUACGUGCCAGCAGCCGCGGUAAUACGUAGGUGGCAAGCGUUGUCCGGAAUUAUUGGGCGUAAAGGGCUCGCAGGCGGUUUCUUAAGUCUGAUGUGAAAGCCCCCGGCUCAACCGGGGAGGGUCAUUGGAAACUGGGAAACUUGAGUGCAGAAGAGGAGAGUGGAAUUCCACGUGUAGCGGUGAAAUGCGUAGAGAUGUGGAGGAACACCAGUGGCGAAGGCGACUCUCUGGUCUGUAACUGACGCUGAGGAGCGAAAGCGUGGGGAGCGAACAGGAUUAGAUACCCUGGUAGUCCACGCCGUAAACGAUGAGUGCUAAGUGUUAGGGGGUUUCCGCCCCUUAGUGCUGCAGCUAACGCAUUAAGCACUCCGCCUGGGGAGUACGGUCGCAAGACUGAAACUCAAAGGAAUUGACGGGGGCCCGCACAAGCGGUGGARCAUGUGGUUUAAUUCGAAGCAACGCGAARAACCUUACCAGGUCUUGACAUCCUCUGACAACCCUAGAGAUAGGGCCUUUCCCUUCGGGGACAGAGUGACAGGUGGUGCAUGGUUGUCGUCAGCUCGUGUCGUGAGAUGUUGGGUUAAGUCCCGCAACGAGCGCAACCCUUGAUCUUAGUUGCCAGCAUUCAGUUGGGCACUCUAAGGUGACUGCCGGUGACAAACCGGAGGAAGGUGGGGAUGACGUCAAAUCAUCAUGCCCCUUAUGACCUGGGCUACACACGUGCUACAAUGGACAGAACAAAGGGCUGCGAGACCGCAAGGUUUAGCCAAUCCCACAAAUCUGUUCUCAGUUCGGAUCGCAGUCUGCAACUCGACUGCGUGAAGCUGGAAUCGCUAGUAAUCGCG